GCUGUGAUAACAAAAUACCUGUGCAUAUACCAACUACGGAAUAAAAAUUGUGCAAUUUCAGUAAACCUGUAUACAGUUUAAAUACUUUAUAUUUAAGACUGUCAUUGCACGACAUAAAGAUGAACAGUAAAAUCCAGGCAAAUGAUUCAAAAUUUCAAUUUUUAUUUACGUAGAAUGCCAUUAAAUAUCAAAUAAAAACCAUCAUGGCAAUUCAAGAGAGAAACAGAAGAAAGGAAAAAAAGUUUUAUAAUAUGUCUAAUGGCAUUUGUUUCCUAUUCUUUGAGCAAGGGUUUCCACAUUUUCAUUCUUCACAGGGCACCACAGAUUAUGUAGUACCUGCCUGAGAGUCCUGAUGGAAAGAUGAAACCCAGAGAAGCACAGAGCCUCUAUUGGAAGUGCUACCUGUGUGUCCUGAAAUUGAUUUCCCUGAUUUGGUCCAUGAGAACCAAAUGAAAGUUGUUUGCAUUGCAAGUGACAUCUGGCUGACAGGAACUUGGAGAAAUGGGAUACAAAGUGAAUGCUGCAGUUACCACAAGCAUCAUAUUUAUCAAAAGGUUUAAGAAGGAGGAGAAGGAGGAAGAGGAAGAUGGAAAGAAAAGUGAUGGGUGCUUGGUGUACCAUCGUGGAUCCUGGUGGAUUCAGGAUGUAGAGGAGAAGCCUCCCUCCCGGGGGUGGGCGGGCAGGGGGUGAGAAAGCACGGGUAACAGUAACAGGUAGCCAGUAACCCUGAAGCCGAAGACUGUGAAGACGUGCAGUUAGCUCUUCAUUUUGUUGUUGAAGGGACCGGGUUCCAUAGGCGGGGAAGGAGCUUGCUGAAUAGCGACGCUCACCAUUUGCUCCUCCAAACACAUUCUGUGGGAGGGCGUGGGAUUUCACAGCAGUGAGAGCAAAACUAUUCACAGCAGUACCAUAUGCUCCCCACCAUCAGGAGCGGCGGUCCUGGUCACUGGACUUGGCAGGCGAAGCCACUGAAUGGAAAUGCUGAAGACCACAGUAGGAGUUUUCUCUUUGUGGGUUUUGGAUGGUAAAAUCUUCAAUCUGUUCCACAGGCAGACAUCAGAGCGAAAAAUAAUUCUACACAAAUUGUGUGCGUGUGUCCGGGUGUGCGCGCGUGCAAGAACAUGACUACGUGUUGCCUCCGGAAAAGUGGAGGGAGAAGCGGGGGCUCGGCCCUUGUCCCGCACCGUCCUACCGAGGUAGCGGGUCAAACCUUGGAUGCCAACGGAGAGGACACUGGGAGAAGGAAAGAUGGAGACAGAUUAUUUUUAGUAUAAAUUCCAUGUUUUCGGUUUUUUUGUCUAAGAAAAAAAGUAAGAUUGAGAAGAAUUUCCCAAAUGCCAAGACCAUUUAAUAGCAGAAUUACAACUGACGAUAAAUGCAGCACUUUUUAAAGCUUGUCCUUUCUCUGUUAUUAACUUUGUUCUUUCGGUUGUGCCAGAGAAAGCACAAGAGACAGAAAUUGGCAGAAAUAUGGGUCUGAAGAACAGAAAUUCAACUCAAAUGAAAAUACCGUGAAAACCUCUAGUAAAAAAAAAAAAAAAGUCUUUAGUUUAAUAGCACA
rnacentral:lncRNA from 12 species